rnacentral:rRNA from 1 species
UACGGAGGGGGCUAGCGUUGUUCGGAAUUACUGGGCGUAACGCGCACGUAGGCGGCUUUGUAAGUUAGAGGUGAAAGCCCAGGGCUUAACCCUGGAAUUGCCUUUAAGACUGCAUCGCUAGAAUCGUGGAGAGGUGAGUGGAAUUCCGAGUGUAGAGGUGAAAUUCGUAGAUAUUCGGAAGAACACCAGUGGCGAAGGCGACUCACUGGACACGUAUUGACGCUGAGGUGCGAAAGCGUGGGGAGCAAACAGG